rnacentral:rRNA from 1 species
CACGUAGGCGGACUUUCAAGUCAGGGGUGAAAUCCCGGGGCUCAACCUCGGAACUGCCUUUGAUACUGUUGGUCUUGAGCUCGGAAGAGGUGGGUGGAAUUCCUAGUGUAGAGGUGAAAUUCGUAGAUAUUAGGAAGAACACCAGUGGCGAAGGCGGCCCACUGGUCCGAUGCUGACGCUGAGGUGCGAAAGCGUGGGGAGCAAACA